CGCAGUAUAAUUGCUAGGUCAGGUAGUCUACUCUCAGUAUAAUUGCUUGGUCAGGUAGUCUACUCUCAGUAUAAUUGCUAGGUCAUGUAGUCUACUCGCAGUAUAAUUGCUUGGUCAGGUAGUCUACUCUCAGUAUAAUUGCUAGGUCAGGUAGUCUACUCUCAGUAUAAUUGCUAGGUCAGGUAGUCUACUCUCAGUAUAAUUGCUAGGUCAGGUAGUCUACUCGUAGUAUAAUUGCUAGGUCAGGUAGUCUACUCGUAGUAUAAUUGCUAGGUCAGGUAGUCUACUCGCAGUAUAAUUGCUAGGUCAGGUAGUCUACUCUCAGUAUAAUUGCUAGGUCAGGUAGUCUACUCGUAGUAUAAUUGCUAGGUCAGGUAGUCUACUCGCAGUAUAAUUGCUAGGUCAGGUAGUCUACUCGCAGUAUAAUUGCUAGGUCAGGUAGUCUACUCGCAGUAUAAUUGCUAGGUCAGGUAGUCUACUCGCAGUAUAAUUGCUAGGUCAGGUAGUCUACUCGCAGUAUAAUUGCUAGGUCAGGUAGUCUACUCGCAGUAUAAUUGCUAGGUCAGGUAGUCUACUCGCAGUAUAAUUGCUAGGUCAGGUAGUCUACUCGCAGUAUAAUUGCUAGGUCAGGUAGUCUACUCUCAGUAUAAUUGCUAGGUCAGGUAGUCUACUCUCAGUAUAAUUGCUAGGUCAGGUAGUCUACUCUCAGUAUAAUUGCUAGGUCAGGUAGUCUACUCACAGUAUAAUUGCUCGGUCAGGUAGUCUACUCUCAGCAUAAUUGCUAGGUCAGGUAGUCUACUCUCAGUAUAAUUGCUAGGUCAGGUAGUCUACUCUCAGUAUAAUUGCUAGGUCAGGUAGUCUACUCUCAGCAUAAUUGC